CCUACGGGAUGCACCAGUGGGGAAUAUUGGACGAUGGGCGAAAGCCUGAUACAGCAAUGCCGCGUGUGUGAAGAAGGUCUUCGGAUUGUAAAGCACUUUCGACGGGGACGGUGAUGACGGUACCCGUAGAAGAAGCCCCGGCUAACUUCGUGCCAGCAGCCGCGGUAAUACGAAGGGGGCUAGCGUUGCUCGGAAUGACUGGGCGUAAAGGGCGCGUAGGCGGUUUAUGCAGUCAGAAGUGAAAUCCCCGGGCUUAACCUGGGAACUGCAUUUGAGGCGCAUAGACUAGAGGUCGAGAGAGGGUUGUGGAAUUCCCAGUGUAGAGGUGAAAUUCGUAGAUAUUGGGAAGAACACCGGUGGCGAAGGCGGCAACCUGGCUCGAUACUGACGCUGAGGCGCGAAAGCGUGGGGAGCAAACAGGAUUAGAUACCCGAGUAGUC
rnacentral:rRNA from 1 species